rnacentral:tRNA from 1 species
GCGGAUGUAGCCAAGUGGCUC